rnacentral:lncRNA from 1 species
UAUACCCCUGCCCCUAUAUGUAACAUAAGGCAUUCACCCCUAUAUCAGUGUAAGAUAAGGUUUAUACCCCUGCCCCUAUGUGUAACAUAUUAAGGCAUUCACCCCUAUAUCAGAGUAACAUAAGGUUUAUACCCCCGCCCCUACGUGUAACAUAAGGCAUUCACCCCUAUAUCAGUGUAACAUAAGGUUAUACCCCUGUCCCUAUAUGUAACAUAAGGCGUUCACCCCUAUAUCAGUGUAAGAUAAGGUCUAUACCCCUGCCCCUAUAUCUAACAUAAGGCGUUCACCCCUAUAUCAGUGUAACAUAAGGAUAACCUUAUGUAACAUAAGGAUAACCUUACCCCUGCCCCUAUAUGUAACAUAAGGCGUUCACCCCUAUAUCAGUGUAACAUAAGGUUAUACCCCUGCCCCUAUAUGUAACAUAAGGCGUUCACCCCUAUAUCAGUGUAAGAUAAGGUCUAUACCCCUGCCCCUAUAUGUAACAUAAGGCGUUCACCCCUAUAUCAGUCUAACAUAAGAUUUAUACCCCUGCCCCUAUAUGUAAUAUAAGGCAUUCACCCCUAUAACAGUGUAAGAUAAGGUUUAUACCCCUGCCCCUAUGUGUAACAUAAGGCAUUCACCCCUAUAUCAGUGUAAGUUAAGGUUUAUACCCCUGCCCCUAUGU